CAUUAUGAAAACAAAUAACCUGUCCAGCAUUAAUUGAUGCUGUUCAAAAUAAAUAAUAUUUACAACAGCAGAUUGAAAUAGAUAUACUGUCCCACAAAAUGUGUGAACUAGUUAUGAGUUUAAGAUGGAAAUAAAGAUUUGUGCGGCAUUGUCUUAACAAAUGAUAAUUGUACCUUUCAAUGAUUGAACAAUUUAAAAAAACAGAUAGGGCCGAAUUUUCGCAUUACAAGGAAUGCUCAAUCUAGAUAUUUUAUUUGUUUCAAAAAAACUGAAUGUUUCAAUUCUGUUCAGCUUUCGAAAUAAAUUUAAAGCAGUUCUACCUACAUCUUCGCUGGCCAAGGACUAUGAUCCGCCCCAAUACAUUCGUGAAGAAGGCACUGGAUCGUGAAAUAUUGGCUAGCAAAGAUGUACUACUCAAUAGCUUAGGGUAAUCCACUAUAGUCAGGCGGGAAUGCUACGUUAUAAACAUCAAAAAGAUUUGAGAGAAUGCAUCUAUUUAAAUAAAACUGUCUAGUUCAGUAACCAUCCAGAAAAUGCGGGUCUGCCGUGUUCAUUACUAUAUAAUACACCUACACCUUUGUAGGAUGAGUGCAUACGGACAUAAACACUAUCGCCAUUCGACACUUCAGCAACAACUGUUCCACUAGUGCUACCGUUGGUAUCUUUGUUAUAAAGGUAGGUGGAUCCAUACACGGAAUUAUUGACCAUCAACUCAAAGGAAUGAUAUGCAGGAUCCAGUCUUACAACCCACACGAAAACGUAUGUUCCAUUCUUUGGACAGGUAAAAACACCUGUAUGGCUGUUAUAUCCA